rnacentral:rRNA from 1 species
GGGGGCCUACGUGGAGUGCAGCAGUGGGGAAUAUUGGACAAUGGGCGAAAGCCUGAUCCAGCAAUGCCGCGUGAGUGAUGAAGUGCCUUAGUGGUUGUAAAGCUCUUUUACCAGUGGAUGAUAAUGACAGUACCUGGAGAAUAAGCUCCGGCUAACUCCGUGCCAGCAGCCGCGGUAAUA